GCGCCCUCGGACCUGAACGUCCCGCGCAGGCGUCCGCGGAGGUUGCAGUUGUAACACCCAAGUGGAACCCGGAUAGGCUGCUGCCCUAGGCAGUUUAUGACUCACCAAGGCAUGUAGACAAACGGCUUGUCAUGGGUAAACAUCACCUAAAACCUGUUUCUUACACUCAGACUGCAAUAUGCAGGUGGGUGUAAUUAAUCAGAUGGGCCUGAUCCUGUAUCUGAGCUCUCUAGGUGGACCCCAGAGCCCUGUAUCGCUGCCCCCCUCCUCUUGCUUCUAUAAAGCUUAGACCUAACCCCACUCCCCCUGCUCCCCUCACCUGGUCAAGCUCUGGGACUCUGCCAGGUGUAAGUUUGGAUCUCCAUUCCCUGCAUCCUAAGAUGCGGGGAGUUUCCUGGGCCAGGCCAGUCCUGCUCAUCUCAGGGCGCCCAGUACAGCAGGUGAUGGUGCAUGACAAAAAUGAUGAGCAAGCUCUGGGACGCUUGGGGGUCAGUCGUGAAGCCCAUGGUUUCCAAAUCUAAUCUUUUCUGAAUGAUUAGAGCAGGUGGAGGUCUGAAUCUCCAAGUUCGGAGAGUAAAUCAUCUUGUUGAUUACAAGGCGGCUCACCUGAGUGGGCACAUGAAUGACUGGAAUGUGAUUUUUGGAGUUGACAAAUGAUUCAGAAUGAUUCUACAUUCUUUCAAUAGUUUUACUGAAAGGCGAGACCCUAUGGACAGGAAGCACAGGCAACUGUAUUCCUUCCCCUCUAUCUUCAGGACUCAGCUAAAAAGUGGAAGCCGAAACCUCCCAGCUUAGCAUUCUGUUGCACCACAUUUCCCGGUGUAACCUGGGACAUUAAUGCAGAAAAUGUGUCUCUCUUGAGUUCCUUUUUGGAGAGUUGCUUUUUGAAUGUACAUAAUCCUAUUAAAGGACGUCCUAAAGAUAAAAAGCUGUAAGAUUUUAUUUAACCCACUGUUUCCCAAAUUAUUUGGCCAUAGAAGUCCUUUCCUCAACGCAUUCUCUAGUGACCCAGGUCAGCUUGAGCUAAAGGAAUAGAAUGUAUGAUAGGGACACAGGAA